GAGGUCGUACUGGCAGGCCCCGGAGGUUUGUAAUGCAGACCUCCAUUUGUUUACCGAUGCGGCUGGCUCGGCCGGUUUUGGGGCCAUUCUGGGCUCCAAAUGGUGCGCUGACUCGUGGCCGGAGACCUGGCAUACGGCAGGGCUCACUCGAAACUUGGCGUUUCUGGAGCUCUUCCCUAUUCUGGUAGCGUUGGAGGUAUGGGGUUCCCUGCUGGUGGACAGACAUGUGGUUUUCCAUUGUGAUAACUUGGGGGUGGUGCAGGCUAUUAACCAACUGUCGGCUUCUUCCUCCCCCGUGGUUCGCUUGCUGUAGCGCCUGGUUCUGCGCUGUCUGGAG